GACGAACGCUGGCAGCGUGCUUAACACAUGCAAGUCGAACGGAAAGGCCUUUUCGGAGGUACUCGAGUGGCGAACGGGUGAGUAACACGUGGGUGAUCUGCCCUGCACUCUGGGAUAAGCCUGGGAAACUGGGUCUAAUACCGGAUAGGACCGCACUUUAGUGUGUGUGGUGGAAAGUUUUUUCGGUGUAGGAUGAGCCCGCGGCCUAUCAGCUUGUUGGUGGGGUAAUGGCCUACCAAGGCGGCGACGGGUAGCCGGACUGAGAGGUUGGUCGGCCACAUUGGGACUGGGAUACGGCCCAGACCCCUACGGGAGGCAGCAGGGGGGAAUAUUGCACAAUGGGGGCAAGCCUGAUGCAGCGACGCCGCGGGGGGGAUGACGGCCUUCGGGUUGUAAACUCCUUUCGCCAGGGACGAAGCGUUUUGUGACGGUACCUGGAGAAGAAGCACCGGCUAACUACGUG
rnacentral:rRNA from 1 species